CUUCCGGAACUCCUCGGGCUCGGCCCCGGGGGGGGCUCAGCUCCAGGUAUUUGCCGGUAGAGCUGCAGCGCUGUCCGAGCGUCCUCGAUGCUGUCGUGAGUCUCUCCUUGGAUCUUCAGACUGACCCAGGAAGUACCACGCGAGGAAGCGCAGGGAAAUCAUCCUCUUCCUGGGGAUGUGGAACAGGUAAACUGUGUCAAUGACCUGGUCCUUGGGCACCUGAAGGGCAGAGAGGGUCCUGCUAGAGGGGGCAGGGGGGCUGCAGAGCCCCAGCACUGCUGUCAGUAUCCUCAGCCCCCCCUGAGCCCCCCGUGUUGGGGCUCAGCACCAUCACCAUGAGGUUGAUGACUCGGAAGUCCUUCUGCAGCCCAUGGCCCACAAACUUCACCCCCACGUCGAUGAGGAAGCGCAGCUUCAGGCACUCACUGACGAGGUUGUACUUGGCGUUGAGGUUCCUCCGGGCGUAGUAGAGGAUGGCAGGCACCUUCCAGCUCAUGUCAAACUGCACGGCCUCACACUGCAGGAAGGGGACGGUGCUGGGGCAGCCCGAGGAGGGGGGCUGUGCCACAGGAACCCCCUCCUUAGGGUCCUGGAACCACCGUCCCACCAGCCCCCAGCACUCACCUUGUCCACGGGCUCGAUGAGGAAGUCAUUGAAGAGGUACCACUGCUGGGAAAGAGGGAUGUGACAGUGCCAUGUGGGAACUCCCACCCUUCCUGGGACACGGUGGGGAAAGCCCUGCUGCCCUGGGUGGUGACGGCACCGGGGCCAGACAGGGACAACCUCUGCCCAACUCCCAGCCAAAACUCCACAGAGAUGCAAGAGAUAAGGGAUGGAGCCUUGACACACUCUGGGAAUUCCUGCUUGGGCAUCUCCACCAGACACCAGGAGAGCCCAGAGCAGCCCCUUUCCCUCAGGCUGCCCCCCGUGCGGGAAUCCAGGAUGUGGACGACGGUGGCCAUGAGGUCGUAGACAUAGACUGAGUCGGGGUCAUCAUUUGGGCUCA